AUUUUCCUUUAAGAACGAGACAGGGAGCUGAGUGGGUGACAAGUCAUUUUCUAAUGCUCACGGGCUGGGGCCAGAGCUCGCAGUGGAUGGGAGGAGGGAGAGGACCAAAUUAGCUCAGAUUCUGUAUAAUUCACAGAAUAGCCUGAUUUUAUUUGUUUGUUUUUAGAUACAAGAGCCAAAAAAAAAAAGGGGGGGGGGGGGCAAAAAUGUUGACAAAAAUUUUAGUCCAUAGUUCUGGAGUGGACGGAGGUAAGAAUUUCCCACCCGGAUCUCUUGUUUUUCUCAGGACCGUCUAUAAGACUAGAUCCUCCAGAAAAGGUGGUGAAGGCGUUUUGCAGAGUUUCCAAAGCCUCCUCUUCCUCCUCAGGAAAGAUGGAAGCUUUGGGGGAGAGGACAGGAGUACCAGAGACUCCUAGCCAGCAGGAGCUCAGGUAGUGACCAAAGAGAAGGGAUGAGUAUUUUGCCCUCAUGGGCUAUUUUGGAGGUUAGAGCCACAGAAAUGCGGCUUGCGCUUGCUCCCUGGGCCCUGUCCCCACACUCACCCGGUGUUGUGGCCACGCCACCACCGUACUCUGCUUCCUCAGGAGACUACCUGUCCCCCAGGUGGGGAGACAGAACCAGAGGAUCUCCAAGGUACCUUCCAGCGACAAAUUCCAGGAUUUCCUGGUCCUGCCCUCAAGAGUUUAUGGUUGGAGACGUCAUUGGCUCUGUACUCAGAGGCACCAGGGACCAGAGGAGGUUGCAGACUCAAGGAUUCUCUGUGCAACAGUUGCUGGUGCUUUUGCGAGGGCAGGGGGAACAAUGCUGGGCUGCAGGUAUCAGGGUUCAUGGCUGCAAAUCCUUACGAUGGUGGUUCUCAAACUUGACUGCAUAUUAAGGUUGUAGGGUAGGGAGGCAUGUGUUAUAUUCAGACCUGCUUGAUUAGAAGUUCUGGGGGGACCAUGAAUCUACAUUUCAACACCCUCUCUGCAGAGGGCAUCUGAUGCAAGCAGGCCCUCCAGCAACACUUUGAAAAACGCUCUCUUCCCUCCCUGAACCCCAUCCCCUCCUUGCAUCUUUCACAGAAGGGUUUUGACCUAUAGUCACACAGUCUCCGCUGGAACGGAUUCGAGGCAGCCUGUAAGGGACUGCUGUGACACUUAGACUGGUUCUUCCUCACACCCACACAUCCCCACUACUUCCUCAAGUUGCUCUCCACAGAGCUGGUCUUUCUUUUCUCAAUUGAUGGGCCUUCAGAUACUCAAAGCCAAGACCAUAUUUGUGACCCCCACCCCCAGGCCUCAGCAGCCGAUGGUUACAGAGUCCCAGGAGUGAUCCCAACCCAAUCGUGCUGGUUCUUGUCCCUUUGCAGGGCAUGUCCCCCACCAGAACACAGACUGACCUCCAUUCUCACCCGCUCCUCCAGGUCUCUUUCCCUUCCUGCCUGACCCCAUCAGUGCAAGGUGAGAAGCCCCUUGAGGUGAGUGAAGCUGCACUGCAUCUGCACUGAAGCACUGGAACCAAUGCCCCAGACCUGUGGUCCCCCAGAUUCCAGACACAGAGCAGCUGUGUCUUCCUGGAGAACUUGGUGGUUUAGCAACUGGCUGAUUUCCCUUUAGAGUUGUGGGAGGCCCUUUUACCAUGCAGGCACCUGAGCCCUACACAGCUCAGUGGGGUUCUCCAUGUCUCAGGAUCCCUGAGAAGAAUGGCUCCUUUGGCUUCUGCCUGCAACCUCCCUUUGCAAGGGGCUGGAUGGGUGCCUAUCCUUGGGGCUGAGCCAUGGUGCCAGAGCUGAUCUAGCUCAUUCUUUCCACCCCCUCCUUCUGAGGCACAAGCUUCUUUGUGCAUUUGAUGUAGAAAAACCCAAGCAAAUUGAUGUAUGGGGACCAUUUUACCAC
ensembl:lncRNA